rnacentral:lncRNA from 1 species
UCCGUAUUUUACUUAUAAAUGCACUUAGUUUUUCUGCGGGAAAACAUUACAUCACUCUGUGGUUGUAGUUUUUAAAAUUUUAAUAACUUUCUUAAACUAUCCUUGGUUUGUACCAAACUUGGACAGAAGCUUGUUUAUGAUCAUAAGAUAGUAUCCAGAAGUAAAUUUUGUAAAAUGACAAAUCCUUUUUUUCCAUAUUUUACUUUAAAUGGACUUUUUUUCUGCCAGGAAACAACACAUUCACUCUGUGGUUAAAUUUUUUAAAAAUUUUGAUAACUUUCUUUAUUCUAUUUUUAUUUGUACCAAACUACAACAGAAGCUUGUUUAUGAUCAAAAGCUAGUAUCUAGAAGAAAAUUUUGUUAAUAUUUUGUACCUGUGUAUCUGUAUUUUACUUAUAAAUGGACUUAGUUUUUCUUCCAGUUAACACUACAUCCAGUCUGCAGUUAAAGUUUUUAAAACAUUUAUUAGAUUCAUAAACUAUCCAGGAUUUUCUACCAAACUUGGACAGAAGCUUCCUACAAUCCAAACAUGGAAUCAAGCGGAAUAUUUUUAUUGAUUUUUUCCCUCAUUUUUGUUGAUCCUGCAAUUUACAGCAAAAGUAGGCGAGACACUGGGUUCCGUGGAACCCUUACAAAUUGUUUUCCCAGUUAAUGCAUCACUUGUAGUGACCAUUUCCAGGUGAUAAGCUGUUACUCAUUCUCUGUUUCUUUCUUUCAUUUUAAUUCUAUCUUUACUAAUUACCGGUAGUUGGUUAAUGUUAGUCAUUAAUACAGAAAGCAUUUUAAUAGAUAUUAUAUGAGAGUGUUAAUGUGGGUACCUUUAUGACUUAUAAUGGUAAAAUUCUUGCCAAAUGAUGAUGACAAUAAUUUUUGGUGCAUGAUGAAAAAUGAACGCAUUCUUAUAGACGAUAAAAAAAAUCGACUGAUUUUGACCAAUCACGUUAUAAUUCUUAUAUGAUUUGCAGAUCUAUAAAUACUUGAAUUGGAUUGGUCAAUGAGAAUUUUUUCUAAGUUUACACUUCGAUAAACCAUGUUUCCGAAACUACUUUUGUAAUCUAUUCAUUGCGCGAUACACAAGCUGCAGUGAUCCCGGGAUUUUCAGCAAAUUGAGAUUUAAAAACAAUUGCAUAACAAUUGUGACUAUUCUAGUGCAUAUAUAACAAAAAAACGAAACAAAUUUAAUGCACUAAAGCUUCGAAAAUGUAUAAAAAUAAAAUUUAAUAAAAUUCCGCGAAAUUUCAUGAAGGUUUUGGCAAAUUUACAUCAUGGCAAAACACGAUGUCAUACUGACGAAUAGAAAUUUUCAAGGGAAAGAUUAUUUCGUUACGUGUACGCUUCAAAUUCGGAUAAUAUUUAAUUAAAAUAAGUUUUUGAGGUAGGUGCUAUUUCAUUUAAGAUUCCGUUGUAUUUAUCUGACAUUUAUGGUUUUUAGGAAGUCCAGAUGGCGGAGUACUCCUUAUAGUUACGACUUGCCAUUGUGCUUUUGAUGGUAAAUGUAUAUAGUAGCCAUCAACAAAAAAAAUGUUUAUUAAAUAUCACAAAUGUUUGCAUGAAGAAUUAUAAGGAUUAAACACAUUUUUUCUAGAGGUUAUUGAUGUGUAAACCGGGGCUCUUACUCACAAACUCAACAUAAAAGUCCUUUGGACUUUUAUUUAGUUUGUGAGUUAAUUGCCCCAGUUUACACAUCAAUAACCUCUAGAAAAAAUAUGUUUAAUCCUAUAAUAACAGUAACGAUAAUUAUUUGAGACCUUUGACAAAUCAUGAUAAGGAUAAUUUGACGAAUCACUGUAAAAAUUUUCCAAAUUUGAUGCUAACAAUAGCCAAAAAUAACUGUUUGACGCCUGAUGGUAUAUUUUAGUAAGAUGCAAUAGAUAUUUAAGAGAUAUAGCAACAUUUUGUCUUGAAAUGUAAAUAUUUUUGCAUUAAUUUUUGUUUUGAAUGACUAUUUUUGCUAUACCAUUUUUGGUUAAAAUAUAGGACCUUAGUUGUCUGCUUAUCUGUGAUUGAAGCUAUUUAUAAAUAGAAGACCCUUAUCUGAUGUCAGAUAUUGUUGUAUAUUCCAUAGUGUUUCAAAUACAUAGAUGGUUCAUUGGCAGCUUAAAAAUCCUUAAAACAAUCACUGUAGCAGAGAGAAAAGAGAUCACAUUACAUUUUGUAUAUAAUAAAUAUACAUGUUGAAAUCUUGGCUAUUCAAAAUAGUGUAUUGAAACACAUGUUUAAAAUGAAGUAGAAAAUAGUAUGAAUAAUAUUUGAAUAUGUAUACUAUAAUGUUUACUUAAACUUGUGUUUCUCUUGAAGAUUUUAAAUUCUAUCAAUAUCAUUAUCAUUAAAAAAAAGGUACCAGAAAUCAUAGAGAAAUCAAAUUAUUUUUAUUUUGGUGUUUUUUUUUUAAUGAUUUAUUGUUAAGGAUGACAUGAAAUGUUUUCAGUACCACUUGUAAAAGCUGAUAAAUUAAAAUAUAUAUAGGAUAACAAACUUUUGAUUUAAAUGAUUGUUUUAAUUUGUCUCUGGUAUAUAUGAAUAAUUGUAUAUAUAUUUGAAGUCCUAUAUUAUUAAAGA